CACUAAGAAGCUAUAGGACAGCAGCAGCCUUUUAAGCUGCAGAAAGGUGACCACCAACCACCCUUAGUGA
rnacentral:tRNA from 1 species